GUAGUCCACGCCGUAAACGAUGAGUGCUAGGUGUUAGGGGUUUCGAUGCCCUUAGUGCCGAAGUUAACACAUUAAGCACUCCGCCUGGGGAGUACGACCGCAAGGUUGAAACUCAAAGGAAUUGACGGGGGCCCGCACAAGCAGUGGAGCAUGUGGUUUAAUUCGAAGCAACGCGAAGAACCUUACCAGGUCUUGACAUCCCCAUGCCCUCUCUAGAGAUAGAGAUUUCCCUUCGGGGACAUGGGUGACAGGUGGUGCAUGGUUGUCGUCAGCUCGUGUCGUGAGAUGUUGGGUUAAGUCCCGCAACGAGCGCAACCCUUGAUCUUAGUUGCCAGCAUUUAGUUGGGCACUCUAAGGUGACUGCCGGUGACAAACCGGA
rnacentral:rRNA from 1 species